AACUGUUACCUUGGAGUUUUCGAGGGCAGAGUUCAGCCUGUUUAGGAGCCUCUUGACAGAACCCCUUGGGAAGAGGUCCUGAGGGGCAAAGGAUGAUGCCAAGGUGUGAGUGCUGAGCUGCUGGAGGGCAGGGGCUCUGCAGAGGGAUCUGCACAGGCUGGAUCCAUGGGCCAGGGCCGGUUGUGUGAGGCUCAGCCAGGCCCAGUGCUGGGCCCUGCCCUUGGGUCACAGCAGCCCCUGCAGCUCCAGGCUGGGACAGCGUGGCUGGAACGCUGCUGAGUGGGAAAGGAGCUGCAGGGGCUGGUUUCCAGGGGCUGGACACGAGCUGGAGUGUGCCCAGGGGCCAAGAAGGCCCAUGGCACCGGGCUUGUGUCAGCAACAGCGUGGGCAGCAGGAGCAGGGCAGGGCCUAUCCCCCUGGGCUGGGGCACUGGUGAUGGGUCACACCCUAAAUCCUGGGUUCUGUUUUGGAGCCCUCAAUAGAAGGAAGACAUUGGGGUACUGUAGCGUGUCCAGAGUAGAGAAUCCAGCUGGUGGAAGGUCUAGAGCACAAGUCUGAUUUGGAGUGGCUGAGGGAUCUGGGUGGUCUCAGCCUGGAGGAAAGGAAACACAGGGGAGAUUUUAUUGCUCUCUACAAUGACCUGAAAGGAGGUUGCAGCCAGGUAGAGGAGGAAGAAGAGGGACCAACUUCAGGGAUUAAGGGAACAGAUGAAUUCCAGCUGCUGACCUCAGUGUCAGAACAAAACAAUGUGCUCUUGAAAACAAGACAGCUCAUCUUUUUCCAAAGGAACAUAAAAUAUAGCUUUAACGUCACAGUAUAUGUAAACAAAGAGGUCACCAAGCAGGAGCUGACAAAAGAGGAAAGAAGAGAGAGUGAUGUACAGAUAUAAAGGCUGAACUUCAUUAAAGUUAUCAAGUUAAUUUUCCUUGGAAUCAAGACUGCAGCUAUCAAAGACACAUGGUAUUGUAGUUGUGGCAAGGUUUUGGAAUCUAACUUCACAUAUUUGCUACAAUGAAACCUGCAAUCCAGGGACUCUUUCAUCCUCAGCCCAACCCGUUCUGGAUUGAUUUUCCAAAGAUUGAUACAAGAGCACUUGCUCAAAAAAAAAAAAAAAGUAUGAAGAAAGAAAAGUUGAAUGUGUGGAUUGAAGGCAGCCUAUUCCUGACUGAGGUGAAGAGAAGCUGCAUCAUCAUUUCAACCUCCAUCCUUACCACCCACAGAGUAAAAAAUGAAAUGUUAUCACGCAUGACAAGGAUAAAUUCACGCUUACCUUUGUCCAUGAAAGGGAGGCAAGAAAAGUAAGGCUGGGAGGGAGGGAUGGGGGAAAGAAAUAAAGGAAAGAAACCUUCAACUAAAUUUCAAUUCCAGACAUUACACGCAUCCAUAAAAGAAAUGCUACCUCCCAGCAAGACACAGAGAGUAAGAGUGAGCAGCUAAACUUCUUGGCCCCAAAAAGAAAUAGAGGUAAACAAACCUCUUCUUCCUAGGGCUGAGACUAAACUUUUGAGCAAAGAGAGGAAAGACAAACCCUAUCCCAAGUGGCAUAAAGGUCAGGAGACUUCAAAUUAAAUAUAAAAAAUAUAAGCAUAGAUGUUUGAGUUGGUUAUCUUUUGUUCCCAUGAAAGGCAAUGAAGGGAAAUAAACACUCAUACCCAUGGUAAAGAAGUUUAUAUAGUUCUGAUCAACAGAAAACUAGAAGGCUCAAUCUCUUUUCUGUCUGCUAACCAUUAAGCUAAAUUACAUUAUUAAUCUGCCUUGCAGAUAUGAAAAAAUGAGUUAGUAACUCCAGUCUAGGAUGUCUUUGUAGAAGAGCAGACCUGGAUAUAGGCAUAUCACAUGGGUCUUGGCUUAGUCCCUGCUCACCAGAACACCAGACAGACCACCAGGCAUGUCUGUGCCCUGCCACCACUGGGGUGAUAGCUCACAUCUGGUCUGUGCCUAGGCAUAUGUCCAGGCAGUGACAAUAUUAGGAAUAAAUAAGUCUGAAGACUUAUGCUUGUUCUUAAUUGAACUUGAAGCAAGAGAUUAAUCUUGAUAACUCAAAUCUGUUGUUAGACUUGAUGACGAAAAGUUUUUAAAGUCCAGUCCUUGUGACCUAAAUUAAGACUGCUAUAAAGGUUCCCAGCCUCUACACCUUAGUUAAAGGGAUUAGCAAGUAUUCAUGGAGUAAGUUAAUUGCUCUGCAACACAGUUCUGUAAACAGCACAUAAAAUUUCUAUCUUCUGUUUGGAUUUAACUGUGCCAUUUCACAUUUUAGACCUGUAAGAUCAGUAUGUCAGGACUGUGGCUUUUCUACAAUAUUGUAAUAUUUUCACAAUAACUGCAUUAAUUGGUUCCCCAGUUCAUUUAUAGAUGUAAUAUAGCUGAAACCUUUGAGAUUUCUGGAUACAUUGUUAAUAACCCUUGAAAUAUAAAUUUUUUAUGGAGGUUAGGAAAAUAUCUUGGAAAUAUUUCUGCACAUUGAGUGGCUCUGUAACGUGCAAGUCAGAAGCACAUUUUAAUGACUUUGUCUAAUCUACUUUGAAGACUAUAGUCUGCUAUUGUUUCCUCUUAGCAGAGUUAACCCAAGUUGUGGCAUCAAAGAUUCUGUGUUGUAGGUAUGAGAUUCAGCAAGGCUGAUGCCCUGUGAUUGCAAACAUUGCCUUCAGCACUGUAGAAGGAUGAGGUUUCUGUCUAGUUGCAUAACAGGAACCCUGUUUCUCUUUUUUUAAUGACACCUUCACAGCUGGACUAAUGUAUGUACUUUUAGGGUGCGUGUGUGGGUCAUCUCUUUUUUCUUAAUAUAGCUCAGACUGCUGAUAUCUUCAUUAUUUGUAUCUAAUAACUCAAUUAUUAUCACCAUUAUUUGUAUUGUUUGGGGUUUGUCUUCAUUCACUACUGUAGCCACAAUUUCCAUUUCAAUAAUAAAUCCAACAGAAACAAUAACACUUAUUUUCAAAAUCCUGAAAAUUAUGAAUGAAAAUUAGUUGGGGAAGUACAAUAAAAUGGGAAUAGAAAUUCCAGGAAGUUCUGGGAAGGGAAGGGAAGACUAAAUCUAGGAUUUAUGAUUUUUUUGGUUCAAAAAAUUAGCACAUGUUCAUUAUAACAGAGAAGUAGGGCUUUUGGCAGUUUUUUUAACGUCUAAAUAAUUUCUUACUAUAUAGGAGUGCUUUGUUGGUUUUUGUUUGUUUGUUCAUUUUUGUUUUUGUUUUGGUUUGAUUUUUUGUUUUUAUUUCUCUUUAUUUCUUUCGAUUCCUCUCCCUUACCAUGUACUUACCCAUUUUGCUUCAUGCCUCAUUAGGGUGCCGAGACUAAACAGCCAGCUGGAUGUGCCUGGCCUGUGUAUGAGCAUCCCUGCACCAUUGUUCUGUUUGCUAACACUGCUCCCUCUCUCCCCUUUGAAGCUGCUCCAAAGGAACUUUAUCCCUCUGUUCCAGCUGCCAUUUCAUUAAGCCCUUGCUUCACAGGAUUUUCCACAACCGUUGACACAUCAGAGCAAGGAUGUAGCCAUUAAAAUAAUGAAGGGGGGGGAAAAAGAGAGAGGGGAAAAAGAGACAAGAACAGUUCUGAAGUGAAAAUUGAAAAGGAGUACAAGGUUGCUUAAAAAAAAGGCCAGGUAAAAUCUAUCUUUCUUUCUUUCUUUCUUUCUUUCUUUCUUUCUUUCUUUCUUUCUUUCUUUCUUUCUUUCUUUCUUUCUUUCUUUCUUUCUUUCUUUCUUUCUUUCUUUCUUUCUUUCUUUCUUUCUUUCUUUCUUUCUUUCUUUCUUUUCUUUCUUUCUUCUUUUUCUUUUCUUCCAACACUUCCGACACUUCCUUCCUUCCAAACACUUCUUUCCCUUUCUCUCAUUCUUUCUCUCUUCUCCCUCUCUUUCUUUUUAACUUUGUUUAUCAGUCCUUUAUUUCCUCAUUAUUUAACUCUUUUGCAGACUUUUGUUCUUGUAGAAACUUCAUACACACCUGUGUGUGUAAACAGAGACAAUCACAACUUCAUCUUGUCUAGCAGUUGUCUCCAGACCUCCUUCCUAACCCUUUCUUCACAUCAGAGAGGUCCAGAAGCAGAACUUUUUUUCUUCCUAUGAGGCUCAAACUUGCCAAGAGAAAGGUCACAGUCCAGGAAAUGUCCUGUAAAGCUGAUGGACUAAACCAGCCCUUCAGACUGAAGAGAAGUUAAUUCUAAAACAGUGUAACUGGGAAAUCCUCAGCUCAGCUGGCUCAGUAUGGAUAGCAGCACAGGCACAGCAGCCUGCAGCUCACAACAAUCUUUCUGGGAUAUGGACUCCACCCCAGAAGAGUUUUGUGGUUCACUCUGGCCACAGAACUGCACCACCUCAGCAAAUAUGCUUAAAGGUGAUGUGUCUAUACAGUCUGAAGGGCAGAUGUCUUCUGAAAGACAGAACAUGUCUCAGCUUCCACAGUGGAUGUCCCAUCCUUCUCCGUAGUGGUUUAGUGCCAGUAACCUCUUAGGGCACCAUUUGUCCAUGUAAACUGCAGUUCCUUGGAUGGCGAAUGUCUCAGACUGUUUCUGUACAGGUUCUAGGAAAGUCACACCUUUGACUCCUUUCUGAGAUAUUAAAAUUGUGGCAUUAAAAGUAUGGAAUAGAAAGUAGAAGGUAGGACCAUUAAAAAAAAAAAUUAAAUAUAUCCUUCCUUCAUGUAUAAUGAACAACAGCUUCUGUUGGGGAUUUUCUUUCCAUUACUCUGCAAUACUUUAUUCUUCUGAAUAAGCUUAUUAUGUGAAGAUUGAAACAUUAGGAUUAAUUACACCAAAUGCUGGUGUAAACCCUAAUGAAAAACAUACAUCUCUUGCACAGCCUGAAUUCCCUGGAGAAAUCUUGAAAAUAUUGACUUUGACAGUUUUUGCUGUGUGACUGAUUGCAUCAGUUGUAAAAAGCAUUUACUAAGCAUCAUUUUGUAUAUAUGUCUAAGUGUGCAUAUGAGUGUGUGUAUGCAUGGAUGUAUGCCUUCCCAGAUAAGACAAAAGGAUUUGUUGAGGCUAAAUUAGAGCUCAUGUUUCCAAAGAGCUUGCCUCUUUCAUCAUGAUGCUUUUGUCUCGAUUAUCUCUGGAUUCUCUCCCUCCCUUCUGCCACCCCCUUUCUCUUUUUGCAAUAAUGCCUGUGUUUGAUCUCUAUGUAAAUAAACCAAGCAUCAGGAAGAAACUAAUGGAUCCAUCAUGGGAGCUUGAAAAUAAAGUUGAAAAGAUUGCUUACACAGUUCAUUCACCCAGAGGGUCUGUGCAUUUCAUUGCUGAAGGUUAUGGAAAUUUAGCUGGUGAUAGAGAAAACUUCAUAGAUUACAGCAGAAAAUUUUCAAAGACACAAAGGGGAGAGAGGUGCCCUGUUCUCCUAGACUCUCAAUGGGGGUUGAAUGCUUCAUUUACAUUUGUGACUUUGAAACUUGCCCCGUGGAUUCAAGGCCUGUAGGAACCAUUAUGUUCAGCUUGCCUGAUCUGAUGCAUGAAAAAGGCCUGAGGAUUUUAUCUAAAAAAGCCUGCAAGGAGGAGAAAAGUUGUGGUGGAACAGGACAACCUGGAGUGCUGCUUACAUUUCAUACACAAUCUUGUUAAUUAGUAAACAGACAUGGUAACUGUACCUUCCUUCUCUAUCCCACUCCCUGGCUGAAAUAAUCAUGAUAAUAAUAGGUGUGUCCUCUUUCUUUGACCAGGUCACAAUGUCCAGUGGCAAAAUUUCUCAAUAUGCGUUCAUCUCACAUUACUUUGCAACAGCUACUUAGAGGUAAAAGCAUCUAUGUAAUUUUAAAAGUUGGAUGAAUAAUUCCAUUUGUAUCAUAAGUGUCAUAAGUAUUUGUUGCCUUAUUUACAUUAAUAUCAUAUUCUGAAUUGGUGAAGCAGCAAGAAACACUGAAAAAUUUAACUCUGAAUAUAUACAAUGAAGAACUGUAAGAUAAGAUAUUUUCUGUCUUGAUAUUCAGAGGCUCUAAGAGAACAGAGAGGAUAAAAGAAAUGUUUUGAAAAGUUCAGUUCAUUUUGGGUGAACAGUAUGCAAAACAACUCUCUGUUUACAAUUUCCUAUCUGCUAUCAUCACAGCAUUGAAGUGCCCGUAUGCUUAGAAUAUUUUCUUUUCUGAAUGAUCAGCUGAUUUAUGUAUCCACCUAUCUAUCUAUGUAGUAUGACACUGAUUGGUGUCACUGUAUAUACACUGGGUUUGGGGUUUUUUUGGUUUUUAUUUUAAAAUAUAUUUCUGUGUUCCAGUAUGUCUCUCU